rnacentral:rRNA from 1 species
UACGAAGGGGGCUAGCGUUGCUCGGAAUUACUGGGCGUAAAGGGCGCGUAGGCGGAUAGUUUAGUCAGAGGUGAAAGCCCAGGGCUCAACCUUGGAAUUGCCUUUGAUACUGGCUAUCUUGAGUACGGGAGAGGUGUGUGGAACUCCGAGUGUAGAGGUGAAAUUCGUAGAUAUUCGGAAGAACACCAGUGGCGAAGGCGACACACCUGGCCCGUUACUGACGCUGAGGCGCGAAAGCGUGGGGAGCAAACGGG